UGAUCGUGACCUACACUGGUCGCAAAGGCAGAAUCAUUCUUGUUCAGUAUGAUAAGGGUUAAGAGACCACUUCUAUUAAGAAACUACUAUUUCAGUUCCUUUUUGUAUUGAUAAAUAACAAAAGUAUGUUGUAUUAAAAGACCAUUUGUGUUAAGAGACCACUUUUUGUCCCUCUCUUAAGUGAUCUCUUAAGUGAGCAAAUUGUACUGCUUUCUAAAACCAAAUUUAAACAGCAUUAUGAAUGCUUUUGACAGUUUUCUACAUAUUACAUUGACUAAAACAUAGAAAUUCCUAAAAUGAAUGGAAGUAGAUCUCGUUUAAAAUCUCUUUUGGAUGUAAUUACUGAAUUACAAAAUUAUUUUCAACAUUUCAAAAACAAUAAUGACGUAAAUCUGUACAUGUGCAGCUUUAAUAUGUCAUAUUGACAUGUGAAAUAAUUCUGACGAAUGUUACAUAAUUGCAGUAAACAUAUUGUAUAAUUUGUACUAGUGUAAAAAAAAUGUAUUGAUCGAUCAAAGAAUGACAAUUCAUAGAAAUUUUUAACACUGUGAUAAUAUGUGUAAUGUUUGUACUGGAGAAGUUAUAUAACUUGUAUUGAAAUGUACACAACUAUAAAACGUGUAGUUUUGGAAAAUGUUACAAAACUGUUACAAUGUGUCAGAAUCUGAGAAAAUUAUCAAAACUGUAAUAACAUGUAUCAUACAACU
rnacentral:lncRNA from 1 species